rnacentral:rRNA from 1 species
UGAGGAAUAUUGGUCAAUGGCCGAGAGGCUGAACCAGCCAAGUCGCGUGAGGGAUGACGGCCCUACGGGUUGUAAACCUCUUUUGUCGGGGAGCAAAGAGAGUCACGUGUGGCUCAUUGAGAGUACCCGAAGAAAAAGCAUCGGCUAACUCCGUGCC